rnacentral:rRNA from 1 species
UACGGGGGGUGCGAGCGUUGUCCGGAAUCACUGGGCGUAAAGGGCGCGUAGGUGGUUUGAUAAGGGUGUGGUGAAAGUCCGGGGCUCAACCCCGGAUCUGCCGUGCCGACUGUCAAACUCGAGGACUGUAGGGGCAGACGGAAUUCCGGGUGUAGCGGUGGAAUGCGUAGAGAUCCGGAGGAAGACCGGUGGCGAAGGCGGUCUGCUGGGCAGUUUCUGACACUGAGGCGCGACAGCGUGGGGAGCAAACAGG